GACCUACUUGACUCUCCUUCAAUCAGUAUCUUAUUGUCAAACAUCUAAACCCAAACCAAGACUCAGCUUGGUUAACCAGGUCAACCUUGACCUGAGGGAUAUUGCACCAACAUUUGUUGGAUCGAUUGCGGAUGUCCACUUAUCAAUAGUCCUGAGAUGCUUUGAGUUCCUUUUAGAAAACUUUUCCUCCACUUGACAACCAUCAUCCUCUACUUUAACACAUAUAUUUACUUUUGCCCUCUUUUUUUUAGUUCUUCCACCUUUUCUCGCUUCUUAUUCUUGCUAUUUUUAAGAUAAACUCUUCCUCUUUUUUGUCUCCAUCAGAUGUUUUAGGUCAUGCUUCAACUUGUCCUAUAAUACCCGUAAUAUGACGCUUCUUCUGAUAAACUCCUCCCUUAAUAAGUUGCUUAUACAAUUUGCACGUGAUCCAAUCUUUUUUUGCAAUACAUUACCCUAUAAUCCCAAAUAAUGUUAUUAGACUUUUGCUUCAAUUCUACUUCCGGUUGUUUCUCAUUUUUUGAUUCCAGGCGGAAGGUGUUGGGUUGUGGGUGACUUUGUAGGUUGGUGGAGAUAUUUAUGUUUUGAAAAGGAGAGAAAGUGUAUUAAUAUCUAGGGUUUUUAAAAUUUUGUUGACUAUGACCGUCUCACCCAUUGCCUCGCCCGCCUUGUGAGUCGCCUCGCACGCCUCACGAGCCUCUUUUGCCUCACCAACGGUUGAUGCCUGCCUCUCGCCUAGGUGCCACUUAGGCGGUCGCCUCAGCCGUCAUUUAGAACGCUGGAAAAUAAAUUGAUCUUUCCCUAAAGAAAAAUUAAGAGGAAGAUAUUAAUCAGAAAAGAGGAGAAUCCCCUCACGGUUAUGGAGUUUACCUUUAUAAGUCUUAUCUCUGAGCAAUGAUAGUGACAUGAUCCUGAAGUACAGAUGCCUAUUAGAGGAAUGUGUUUGUGGAUUAGAUAAGCUAGGGGUGGCCAUGUCCUGCUAUGGUUUGCUCUUGCCAUGGCCUUCCCCAUUCAUGGCUUACUUGCCCUAGCUAUGUUUUACGAUGACUGCUAUUGUCAUUCUUAUUUCGUGUCCAUCCAUGAGCCCAUACCAGUCCGAGUGUCAUGCAGGUUCUUUGAGGGGUGUGCAGGGUUUUUGAAGAAAGCGCCCUUGUCGGCAGAAGGUCCAGGAGAUGAUCCGGCUUGGACAAUCAGCUGCCCAAUUAACUAAGUCAGAGCAAAAGGACAAGAGAUUCUCAGGCAGGAGCUAAAGUGCUCGAUUUGCCAAGUGCUCAUUCCAUCCUUCAAGAGUGAUGUGUGCUUAUGCUUGCUUGUGUGUUUGGAGGUACUUUUCCCAGAUCCUCUAGUUUGAUAGUCUUCCCCCUGUAAAGAGUUGAGGAUCCUACCUGGAGGAGUAAGGUUGACUGCCAAAGGAUGAUCUAAGGAUGCUGUUUACUUCCCUUGAAUCUGAUGCUUUAAAUGAAAUGGGAGGGAAAGGAGCAAAUCAACACAUUUCAAGAGUCGCUGCAGCCACCUUGAAUCCACACAAGAUUCCUCAAUUAUGCAUGUGAGAAAUGGAACUUGAAUGGGCUAUUCGUAAUUGCUCAAGUAGGACAAGGGAAUUUCGGUACAAGUCAAUAAAUCAAGGAGAAAAGUAUCUAACCUUUGGUUCCUCCACAAUCCACUAGCUGUGGCUUGACUGAAGGAGAUAACGGAACAAAUUGGCUUGCUUCAAGAGGCACUGCAGCCACCUUGAAUCCACCCCAGAUCCCUCAAUUUUGCAUGUGAGAAAUUGAUCUUGGAGGGGAUACUGUCAUUACUUAUCCAACAUGCAAAAUUAAGGUAUGGAUGAUGAUGAUGGACCAUCCAUUACCAUAUUAAGAAAGACAAGGCCCUUACCAUUUCUAAUCACUUCAAUGUUUUUUUUUAAUUAUUAUUGAAUCCCUAUUCCGGUAGGCAAAAUGAUAAAAACUUAAAUUUUGUGGAAAGUUUUGUUUAUGACUCCAUAAAGUUCAUUAGGAAAUUGAAGAUAGAAUUAUUAUCUUCAAGAAAUUCUUGUCUGAAGAUAUAUUUGU